CCUACGGGUGGCAGCAGUGGGGAAUAUUGCACAAUGGGCGGAACCCUGAUGCAGCGACGCCGCGUGAGUGAAGAAGUAUUUCGGUAUGUAAAGCUCUUUCAGCAGGGAAGAAAAUGACGGUACUUGACUACGAAGCCCCGGCUAACUACGGGCCAGCAGCCGCGGUAAUACGCAGGGGGCAAGCGUUAACCGGAUUUACUGGGUGUAAAGGGAGCGUAGGCGGGUUUGCAAGUCUGAUGUGAAAGCCCAAGGCUCAACCAUGGGACUGCUUUUGAAACUGUAAAACUGGAGUGCAGGAGAGGUAAGCGGAAUUCCUGGUGUAGCGGUGAAAUGCGUAGAUAUUAGGAGGAACACCAGUGGCGAAGGCGGCUUACUGGACUAUAACUGACGUUGAGGCUCGAAGGCGUGGGGAGCAAACAGGAUUAGAUACCCCAGUAGUC
rnacentral:rRNA from 1 species